GUGUAAAUAGUUCUGGGCAUCCUACUGAUGAGUGAUGAUGGACACCUACUAAUGUUGCCAUUUUCUGGGAAAGUAAAACUGUCAAUAGAAUAAAUCCCCAGUUCCCGGUCAGGCAGUUCGUACUCGUGGGUGUUUAUUUGUGGGCAGCCGGGUGCAUUUCGGUGGGAUGAUGAUGAAGCUCACGAAAAUAGCCGCGGGCCGCGGGGAUGUUAGGAUGGGCUUGCCGGUUGCAUAAGAAAACUUUGUUUCUCUUAGGCCUUGUUUAGUUCCGAAAAAUUUUGGGAAAUCGACACAGUAGCACUUUCAUUUGUAUUUGACAAAUAUUAUUCAAUUAUAGACUAACUAGGCUCAAAAGAUUCGUCUCGUUAAUUUCGACCAAACUGUGCAAUUAGUUUUUAUUUUCAUCUAUAUUUAAUACUUCAUGCAUGCGUCUAAAGAUUCGAUGUGACGGGAAAUGUGAAAAAUUUUGCAAAAUUUUUUGGGAACUAAACAAGGCCUUAUUAUUAGGUAAAAAUAUUUCUUGCAUUCUCUGCUACUUCAUCAAGGACUGCUGUGAAAAGUAGUGGUAUUUUUUUCCUAUCUACUUCUACCUCCUGCACGGAUGGCCGAUUCGUCAAGUCCACGUCAUCGUAAGAAAAGUUUGUCAACUUCGUAUAAAUUUAUAGUAGAAAUGCUCGCGGAGUUGCCGCGUAUGGCCAGUUGUAAUGUUUGAUGGCCUCUUUUUUCCGUAGAAAUUGCUUUGUUGAGUAUAUUAGGAUAAGUAUUUAUUUCAGUACAUUUAAAAAAAAUUAUUUUAGUAAUACAUGUUUGUUCCUAGAGUGCAGAGCUUGUAUUGCAUCGUUGUAGUAGUAUAGUUUAUACAUACUUUAUAGGUAAGAAAAAUUUGUUGCUUCGUUAUUUUUGUAUAGGUAUCAUGGUCUGCAGCUCAUUGUUGCACUCAGUAUAUAUUUUGCAAACUCGUAUUAUUUAAGUAAUAUAUUUUAUUAGUUAUGAAAAUGGAGAUAUCAUUUUUUGGCUAUAUUUAUUAUGGAGGGAGAAAUGUUAAAAGUAUUUAUUAAGGAGGGAAGAUCAUGAGUAGCCAAAAGCUAAAUGUAAUUGUGAUACGAGGAGAAUUUGAUCUCGAAUCGUGAAAUUUGCAAUAUUAAAUAUAACCGUAUUUUGUUGAAGAAAGUAUAUUUAUAUAUUUUUUAUGACUAUAAAGCUGGUAAAAUAUUCAAUCAUUUUAUUUUAUUCGUUGUAUGGUUAAGCUACCAUUAAUAGCAAAAAAAAUCAUUAAAAUAUGUGAUGUUAUGUGUUUACAGUGUAUUGGUAGUUGAGUAGAGUUCAACAAAUUUGGUUUAGCAUUUUUUUUAUUUUUUUUAUUUGUUUUAUUAUGUCCUUCCAAAAUUCCAACUGUUUUAGAUAAAGAAUAAAUUCGAACAAAAAUAGAAAUACGUCGUCGGACCGAUUUCAGCCCAGGCAGGCCCAGUGAUAGAUGGCCCGAGCGGGAGUCAGGCCUGCCCAUUUGUUUAUAAGGCCUAGAAAUACAUCGUCGGGUUGAUUUUUGUAAAGUUUGAGGGUUUUUCUAUAAAAAAAUCUCAGAGGAGGCAUGGACUGCGGGUUGAUUCGACUGAAGUUUGAGGGCUUUUUUGUAAAAAGGUCGGUGUGAGCACGAUCUGGACCGUCCGCGAGUCCGAUCCGACGUCCGAGAAGAGCAGGCGACGUGGCCACGCUGAUUGGGCCUCUUUUGUUGCAAGAAUCGUAGUAAGGAGAUGAGUGUUAGUCGUUGUUGAUGUAAAUUUGGUCUUUGACGUCGAAAAUCACACGAGCUGUCAGAAAAAGUAUAAGAACUAAAGUCCUAGAUCUCCUGAGUCAUAAACACACGAACUUGAUGAUUUAAUUCUGAGAUGUGCCAGUCAAUUUGACUUAAAAUUGACAAGGUAGAGAUAUAAAAGUAAAAUAUGGAACCUGCCAGUUACUGGCAGACAGUUCCGAGAUAUAUGACUUUAAAAAGUCGUUAAUCAAAGAAAAUUGACUAGAGAGUCAACUCAUCACGUUGAUAAUGCAUCAUGAUAUUCGUUAUUAAAUGUUUAAAAUAUCAUCAAAUAAUUACGUUUAUACGGAAAGAUGACUAAAUCAGCUAUUUAGCCGAUACGUAAUAUAUGUGUAUGAGAUAGCUUAUGUAUAUUAUCCUUUUAUUCACUAAAUAAACGAUAACUAGUUCUGCGGUCUUAAUAAAUUACUUUCAUAACUAUAUUAAAUCUAUAUUCACCUGGUCUAAAGGUCAGCCGGCUUCAAUAAAUUCAACACGAAUUACUAGUUCAUUUAAUUACAAGCGGGUUCAUGCACGCGCGCUAUUCAUUAAAGCUUAACAGGAUCAGCAAUUUAGCCGAUAUAGAGUCCAUGAGGCAUGAAUAGGAUCUAUCUACUUCGUUAUGACUAGAUUUAGUUGUAAUUACCAAAUUAAUCAUAAUAGAGUAAAUAUCCUGAACGCACAACAUGUAAUAACCAAAAUCGACAGACUAACUAUCUUAUAUUUUCGUUUAAAGUUCACAGCAAGUGUUUCAAUUUAAAGCUCAAGCUAAUCCGUCGAAUGGGCAGAAUAUUGUUACGAUAAAUAAAGCAUUAAUCCUUGAACAAUAUUGAUAACUUAAUGAAUCUAUUAAAUCGCCAAUUUAAUAGAGCCGAUAAACCGAUACUCAUAGG
rnacentral:lncRNA from 1 species